GACGAACGCUGGCGGCGUGCUUAACACAUGCAAGUCGAACGAGAAAGGCUCUUCGGAGCUGAGUACAGUGGCGAGCGGGUGAGUAACACGUGGGCAACCUGCCCCAUGGAGCGGGACAACCCGGGGAAACCCGGGCUAAUACCGCAUGAUUCGUACGGUCAUAAGUCCGUACGGGAAAUGGUAGCUUCGGCCUCCGCCAUGGGAUGGGCCCGCGGCGCAUUAGCUUGUUGGUGAGGUAACGGCGCACCAAGGCGACGAUGCGUAGCUGGUCUGGGGGGACGAUCAGCCACACUGGGACGGAGACACGGCCCAGACUCCGCCGGGAGGCAGCAGUGGGGAAUCUUGCGCAAUGGGCGGAAGCCUGACGCAGCAACGCCGCGUGUGGGAAGACGGCCUUCGGGUUGUAAACCACUUUCAGGGGGGACGAAGCUUCCGAGGUUAAUAGCCUACGGGGUGACGGUACCCCCAGAAGAAGCCCCGGCUAACUACGUGCCAGCCGCCGCGGUAAUAC
rnacentral:rRNA from 1 species